rnacentral:rRNA from 1 species
UACGUAGGCAGCAAGCGUUGUUCGGAGUUACUGGGCGUAAAGGGUGCGUAGGCGGCUUUUUAAGUUUGGUGUGAAAUCUCCCGGCUCAACUGGGAGGGUGCGCCGAAUACUGAGAAGCUAGAGUGUGGGAGAGGAAAGUGGAAUUCCUGGUGUAGAGGUGAAAUUCGUAGAUAUUGGGAAGAACACCGGUGGCGAAGGCGGCGCUCUGGACCGAGACUGACGCUGAGGCGCGAAAGCGUGGGGAGCAAACAGG